rnacentral:rRNA from 1 species
UACGUAGGUGGCAAGCGUUGUCCGGAUUUAUUGGGUUUAAAGGGUGCGUAGGCGGCCCUGUAAGUCAGUGCUGAAAUAUCCCGGCUUAACCGGGAGGGUGGCAUUGAUACUGUAGGGCUUGAGUAAAGUUGAGGUUGGCGGAAUUGACGGUGUAGCGGUGAAAUGCUUAGAUAUCGUCAAGAACACCGAUAGUGCAGACAGCUAACUAAGCUUUAACUGACGCUGAGGCACGAAAGUGUGGGGAUCAAACAGG